AACGAACGCUGGCGGCAUGCCUAACACAUGCAAGUCGAACGAGACCUUCGGGUCUAGUGGCGCACGGGUGCGUAACGCGUGGGAACCUGCCCUGAGGUUCGGAAUAACUCCCCGAAAGGGGUGCUAAUACCGGAUAAUGUCUUCGGACCAAAGAUUUAUCGCCUUUGGAUGGGCCGGCGUUGGAUUAGCUAGUUGGUAGGGUAAAAGCCUACCAAGGCGACGAUCCAUAGCUGGUCUGAGAGGAUGAUCAGCCACACUGGGACUGAGACACGGCCCAGACUCCUACGGGAGGCAGCAGUGGGGAAUAUUGGACAAUGGGCGAAAGCCUGAUGCAGCAAUGCCGCGUGAGUGAUGAAGGCCUGAGGGUUGUAAAGCUAUUUUACCCGGGAUGAUAAUGACGGUACCGGGAGAAUAAGCACCGGCUAACUCCGUG
rnacentral:rRNA from 1 species